AAGUCGUAACAAGGUUUCCGUAGGUGAACCUGCGGAAGGAUCAUUACCAAAUUAUGCAAACCCAGCUUAGGCUGUGGUGCGCUUCAACCCUUUGUGAACCAAAAAACCAUUUCGCUUCGGUUAGCAGGGCAGUUGCAGUAUUGUUGUGUUGCGGCCUAAAAAUCCAACACUCAGCACUCUCCUAUCCAUAAGCCUGCCGGCAGCACCAACCAAACCUGUUUGAAUAAACUAUGUCUGACCAAAAUUUUCGAAUGAAAAUCAAAACUUUCAACAACGGAUCUCUUGGUUCUC
rnacentral:misc_RNA from 1 species